rnacentral:rRNA from 1 species
UUGAAAGGGAAACGAUUGAAGUCAGUCAUGCCGGUGAGAAAUCAGCUCACAGGCUACUGUGAGUGCACUUUUUCGCAAGGCAGGUUAACAUCGGUUUCUGUUGCGUUAUAAUGAUUGUAGGAAGGUGGCUCCCUCGGGAGUGUUAUAGCCUACUUUAGAUGACGCGACGGAGACUGAGGAUUGCAGCGGAUGCCUCUGGCUACGGAUCAUGUCUCUGUCGAUCUUCAAUUGGAUUUCAGCUUGCUGAGGUCUGGUUGAUAGGUUUACAAUAGGUGUGACUCUGUUAAAUUCGCUAAGGAUGUUGACGUA